AGUCAGUCCUAGGCAAAUCAGGACGGUUGAUCUGGAGUUAAAUUUAUGAACCAGAUGGACAAGCUCCUGCCCUCAAGGACUUUACAUCCUAAAAAGUGGGAAAUGACCAAAAAAGGAACAGGCAAUUUGCUGUGACAAUGCUGCUAUACAGAAUUCCCAUAAGCAACCCUCUUCUGGGCUUCCCUGCUUUGAAUGGUAUCUACCUUCAAGAAGGAUGGCAGAUAGGAAGGAAGGCCUUGUGAGGGCAUGGGGAGAAAGUGGCCAUCUGCAAACCAGGAAGAGGACCCUCACCUGGAACUGAAGUUGCCUGCAUGCUGACCUCCAAAAAAUAAAUUGCUGUUAAGCCACCCAGCCUAUGGUAUUCUGUUGUGGCAGCCUGAACAAUUGAAGACAAGGACGCUUUAAUUUUUCCCAGAGUGGAGGCCCAGAGCCUGCUUGGGUGACGUACUGAACAUCUCUUGUAACUGAAGCCCAGAGGCCGAAGACCUCCCAUGUUCUGGAAUCCAGAGAUCUUGCCUUGGUCAUUUGCUAGACACUUAUUUAAGUUAUGAAACGAUUUUAUGGCACCUCAUUUGAGCCUCACUACCAGGCCUGGAACUAGGAACCUUGCAUUUAUCCAGAAGGAACAAGGCCCCCAUCACUUGGGUCAGCCCAUCCCAUGCUGCACGGCUGACAGCUCCUGCCAGGGUCCCUUCUCAAUCCUGUCCUGUGAGCGGGGAGCACAUUGCCAGGGGUCUGUGCUGGAGUACGUGCACUUGAACAUACGUGCGUGCCUGGCUUCGUGGCUGUGAGAAACCAGAGGAGGAGGUGGCAAGCAAGCUCUCACUUUUGGUCAAGCACAUGCAUCUCAGGGAGCAGAUGCAGAACACAGUUCCAUGUGCCCAAGCAGGUGGAGUAAGGAAACACGUUGAUCGUGUGAACUUGGAUACACAAGUAUGUUCCCACAUCUGUGUAAGACCUUGGAAGUGAAGACAUCCACACAGCACGUGAGCCCAUGAGACUUCCCUCUAGGCUAAGGUGAGAGCAGGUUUGCUGAGUCAUUCCCAAAACCUACAAUGAAGAAUUUGGAGGCGUGUCCCCUGUCCUGACUGUGAGUUUUCUGGUGGCUAGAAUGAUUUGGUCACCAGCUGGCCAUUAGGCUAAGGUGACUAUGGGCUAUCUUCAGCAGUGACAGCUGGGACUGUCGGCUGCAGCCCCUCCUGCUUCGGGGAAGGAAAGAGGGGGCUGUAGAAGAGACCUGAGUUUGAGACAUUAGUCCUGCCUCCUCCAACAGACAAAGGCAUGUCUUUGCUGAAGCAACGGGAGCAGGCGCUGGGUUUCUCUCUAACUCUAGGCUUUCUAGGCCACUCUCCUGAUGGUUUUGUGUGUCCUACUGAUUGAUGAGUAUUAUGGGUUGAAUUAUGUUACCCCGACAUUUAUAUGUGGAUGUCUUAACCCUCAGUACCUCAGACUGUGACCUUAUUUGGAAAUAAGGUCUGUAUAGAUGUAAUCAGUUAAGAGGCGGUCAUCCUGGAGUGGGGGGCACCCUUAGUUGAUAUGACAGAGACAUGAACAGAGGGCCUGAAGAGGACGGCAGAGUCGGUGUGAUACUUCUACAAGCCAAGGAAUGCCAAAGGUCACCAGGAGGCCAGCAGGGGAGGCCUGGAACAGAUUCUCUCUCACACUUCAGAAAGAACCCGCCCUACCGACACCUUGACCUUGAACUUCCAGCCUCCUGCAUCACGGGACAAUGCAUUUUUAUUGUCUAGCUACCCCAUCUGUGGUAUUUCUUUCCACAGCUGCAGCAGACUCAUAGAAUAGUAGACACCACCUGCUGGAGAAAGCCUUGAAUCUCCAUUAUUCCCUCCUCUAUUUCCCCUUCUCCCCAGCUCCAGGACACAAGCACAUCAGGUAGAGGCACUAUAACAGCAGGUAAAUAUUCCCCAGGAAAGUGAUUUUUUCCAGCCCAGUGCAGUUUCAUAGCCACCACUGCAGAUUACGAGGUCCUUCUUUCUAUCCCGCCUAAAUCUCACCUGCUGCAGCUCCAGCCCAUUCUGUAUUAUUUUGUGCUCAAAAGAGAGACUCAUCAGAACUCCCACCUCUGGGAAAUAAUCCUUUGUUGUCUAAAAUUGACCUGUGGAAUCUCCUUUCCAUAAUGGCUAGUUCAAGGUAGACCCUCCAUUCCUAGCCCCCAUCUCCCAAACCCCUGACUCUCAAUCCUCCAAAUGUCCCCAUGCGAUGACUUUUUCUUUGACAUCCUAGAGCAGGCUGGGCAGGAUCUGGCCUUCCCUCCCACCCCCCUGCCCUGAGCCUGUCCCUCCCCUGUCUCCUGGGCCCCUCGAUACGGGCCAUCCUUCCAACAAACAGAGCUUGUUUGUGGGCUCACACGUGCCUUGUCUCCAAACACAGUGCAGAGAGAAGCUGUAAGGAGUGAGACGCAGCGGCUGGGAAAUCGCAGUGACCGAUGAGAGGGCCUGAUUGCUUGUGCAUAGCUGCUGAAAGGGGUCUUGACAUUUUAAGUGCUCGUCAGAGUGAGGAAUGACAGCAGCAGACAAUGAGACACUUCCUCUUUGCCUUUUGCUGGCUAUUAAUAAGUGUUUCUGAUUCUGCAGAUGUGGGAGAGAUUCUGGGCCAUUGGGCUGGGUGUGCUGUGUGGGAUUUUUUUCUCACUUUGUCUUUCUCCCAGUGCCAGUUUCCCCCUCUCUCCCCCGACUCCCCCUCCUCUAGCUGCCACUCUCCUCUCCUAGGCGCUGGAGCCGGAUUUGUUAGCGCUCAGGAAAUGGCAUUAGGCAGCUGGACUCAACCUGCCUUUGGCUCUUGGCUGAAAUCCAAUCUCCUAGUUUCCCUGGCCUGGACCAACUGCCAUGUCCCACUCACAUUCCCCAGGGUUGGAGAGGAAUGGAAGGGACAUAGUGGGCUGGCAGAGAGGGUAGAAAGGACUUGUGAGGCUGAAAUUGGGGAAGGGGCGAUAAGGAAAGGAUUAAAAUGGGCCAUUAAGAUAGCAGAACUUGGGGACAGAGAAGGCAGAGAGAACAGGGGAACAGGAUCUUCCCUCUCCCUGAUUCCUCUGCUCCUGUCUCCUCCCCUCUGUGUCCUCCACAGCUGACCCUGGGCAGGGGUGUUCUCCUCUUCCUCUGUCCCUCCCUUCCUCCCCUCUGUGUCCUCCACAGCUCACACUGGGCAGGGGUGCCAUCUCCUUCCUCUGCCCCUCCCUCCUCCCCUCUGUGUCCUCCACAGCUCACACUGGGCAGGGUGCUGUCUCCUCCUCUGCCCCUCCCUUCCUCCCCUCUGUGUCCUCCACAGCUCACACUGGGCAGGGGUGCCAUCUCCUUCCUCUGCCCCUCCCUCCUUCCCUCCGUGUCCUCCACAGCUCACCUGGGCAGGGGUGCUGCCUCUGGGCCUUGGGGAAGAUGGUGUCUGACUGCAUCCAACAGGGGACUCUUUGGUAUCCCUGGCUCCCCAUUGUCCUGAAAGCCACCCUCUCCCCACAUUAGAGUGGUCAACCAUCCUGAUGAGCCCAGAAUUGAGAGGUUAACUUCAGUGCUAAAACUAGCACUGUCCCAGGCAAAGGAACAUACUGGAUCACCCUGCUCCAAAUCCCAUCAGGAACCUCUCCCCUGGCUGCUCACGCCCCUUCUCUCUGCUUGAACAGGAAGUAGGCAGUGAGGCCAAUGCAGGAGGAUGGAUUAAGGCAAGAUGGGAAAGACUCUUCAGACUGGGGGGCUUAGCCUUGUCCCAGCAGAGGAGGAGAGAGGAGAGUGGUCCCCCGAGAUGCCCUCCAACCCUCUCCAGAGGGAGUGCCUGAGUCUCUUGGAAAAAAAGAAGCUUGAGGGGACCAAGUGAAACCGGAACCAGCCCCCUGCUCUAAGGGCCUGCCUGGUACUCUGUUGGCCCCGCCCCAUCCCCUGCCCCCACUCCCCCCUGAGCUAGCCCCCUCCAACCAACCCCCCUCCAGCCUGGCUUCACUGGAGUCCAACUCCAAAGCCUUAUCCCAAGCCCGCAGCCUCUGGAUCUCUUUAUUCCGAUUCAAUUACAUACACAAUAUGAGCUUUGCAAACAGAAAAUUACACGCUGCAAUAAUUGAAUUCUUUCCUGGACUUGAAGCUUGCUGGGCUGUGGUGUGGAGCAGCUCCCAGAUACCCAGCCUUGCCCCAGGGCCCCACCUGCACUUAGCAAAAUCAUAACUAACAUUUAAACAUCAUUUUACAGUUAAUGGUGUUUCCACCCCAACCAUCUCCUUUGAAUUUUAUAGCUAUAUGAAGUGAUACGUAUGUAUAUAUACACACGCAUACCCUGCUAUUAUUAUCAAUCCCUCUUUACAAAUGAGAAAACUAAAACAGAAUAAUUACAAGAUGUUCUUAAAGGAACAGAAGAGGUAACUUACAGCAUGUCCAAGACCUAAAUCUGAGAUAGAUUUCAUGGUUUUUGCCAAUCUAGCCUGAUCCUCACUCCGUCCCAGCCCUAGCUAGCAGAGAGGUCUGAUUCCCCUCCCCCCUGAUGUUCAGGAAUAAAGAAGAUGACUCCAUGGGCGGCGCCUGUAGCUCAGUGAGUAGGGCGCCGGCCCCAUAUGCUGAGGGUGGCGGGUUCAAACCCAGCCCCAGCCAAACUGCAACAACAACAAAAAAAAAUAGCCGGGCGUUGUGGUGGGUGCCUAUAGUCCCAGCUGCUCGGGAGGCUGAGGCAAGAGAAUCGCGUAAGCCCAAGAGUUAGAGGUUGCUGUGAGCCUUGUGACGCCACGGCACUCUACCCAAGGGCAGUACAGUGAAACUCUGUCUCUACAAAAAAAAAAAAGAAGAAGAUGACUCCUUUUCUCCUCUCCCACCAGCCUGGACUCAUGGGUUAUCUUCAGAGCUGUGGACACAAUCUAUCUUGUUCCCAAUCACAGACCAAAGCUAUUGUUGCAAAAGCUGUGAAAUGCUUACAAACAAAGGUAAUUGUUGGAGGCCCUAAAGAGAAGGGUCCCCCAUACCUUUUUCCUCGAUAACCAACAUGGCAACUACUUUGAUUUCAUUCCCCCUGCCCUGCCUUUAAAAUGAAGCCAAACCUACGAAUCCUUAGACAUCUGCAGUAAAUAUGGCUGUAACUUCUGCCGCCCUAGACAGUAUUCCCUCCAUGAAUAUUUAUUGAGCACCUGCUGUGUGCCAGGCAUUUGUUACCUCAUUGAUUCUCACAGUAAAUUAAUGAAAUAGGUACCAUUAUUUCUCUUUUAGAAAUAGGCUACUGGGGCUUAGAGCAGUAAAGAUGCUCACUCGAUCUCCUACUCCUAGUAAGGACUAAAACCCAGGUCUACCACUAUCAGGGCCUGUGCUCUUACCCAGGGUAACAUAUGGCCAGUUAAGGACAGGGGCUCCUUCCUCCCUCCCUGGUUUAGGCCAAUCACAUCUUCGAACUGGACUAUUGAAUUCCUUCCUUUAUGGUCUCCAUGAUUUUGGUCUUCUGGGCAUUCAUUCUGUCCUCUGUACUCAGCUAGUAAGUUUUUGAAAUAAACAACUCUGACAAAGUCUUUCCAAGAAAAAUUCAAUAGCUCCCAACUACUUACAGAAAAAAAGAAAGAAAACGAAAUGAAGUUCAAGCUCCAUGGAGCACUGGGCAAGUUCCUCUGGGAUCCUGCUUCUGUCUGCAGCUCUGUCUCCUGCCUCUUUUCCCCUUGCAUAGUACUCUAGAGUUAUGCUAAAUUGCUUCUAAUUCUUUUGCUGCAGACACCAGGAGGUUUCCUACUUCACUGCAUGGAUUUAUGCUUCCCCUUCUCCCUAGAAUGACCUUCCUAUUUUGUUGGGCUUAAUCCUGCUUCAUCAAGGCUCAGCCCAGACUUUAUCCACUCCAGAAAACCUUUGCUGAGUGUCACAUCAGCCAAGUCUUCCAUGCUGUGAUUCCAUAGCCCCCUUGCACACUUCUCUGAGAGGACAACUACUGUUGAUGUGUCUGUGACCCCCAGCCCUGGUCCCCAGUUUUGGACUGGAAAUACAUCCCACAUAGAGUGUGCCAUUCUGUCUGUGUCCCAGAAGCUAAACAGUUCCUGGCUCUUAGUAAUCACUCACUAAAUAUUUGUGGAAUGUCUUUAAAUCACCAUGUUUGGCUGGAUGACACUUAUGUGCACAAUCAUAUCCUCCUAAAUACCUGCCCUCGGAUGAUUUUUUAUGAGACCUGACACUGAAUAUAAAAGUAUUUGCCCACAUAGCCUGGAGUUGUGCCCAUAUGCACCAAAGGAAACUGUUUUGUAGAACUGCAGAAUAAUCCUGGAACUAAAAAUUCUAGUCUUCUACAUCAAUUAGCUUCUCCCUGAUUUCCUAGAAGGUCCUAGAAAAUGAGACGGAAAGUUUGAGAUGAGUGCAAAGCUCACCUGUCAGUCCAAGGCUUCCAUAGCAGACAAGGCAGAGAAGCCAAUGUUCUUUCUCCUAAGAACAUUCCAGGCAUUAUGGUCACAGAAGGGAAUUGGGCAAAUGAAGACAUUUACUAUGCACCUAAUAAAGAAGGUUCAAUAUUGCAAAGAUGUCAAUUCCCUGCAAAUGAAUCUAUACAUAAUUAAUGCACUCCCAAUCAAAAUCCCAACAAGUUUUUCAUAGAACUUGACAAGUUAAUUUUGAAAUCUAUAUUGAAAAAUAAAUAUUGAGAAAAUCAAGAUCAUUAAAAGAAAAAAAAAGGAGAGGAUCUCAGCCUCUCAGAUAUCAAAACAUACUAAUAAAUGUACGAUAUGUAAUGGUAAAAUUCUGUGUUAUUAGCUUGGAAAUAGACAAACGGAUGAAUAUAUUAGAAUUCCAAGCCCAUUUUCUGGGCAUGUAAGAGGCACAAGAUAGACAUUUGUUGAAUAAAAGUGGCAUUUCACAUCAGUGGCACAAUAAAUUGGAGUGGGACGAUUAAUUAUUUAUUGAGAAAAAAAUAAAGAUAGAUUCUCUACCUUGUAUCAGUUACAAAAAUCAAUUCCACUAAGCUUAUAAACAUAAAUAUAAGAAUAUCCAUGAAUUAGGACAGACUGUAAACUCUCUUGUUAAUGACUUUAGGGUAGGGAGGCUUCCUUUUUUGUUUCAAAUACUGAUUUUUAAAUUUAUUGAAAUCAAGACAAAUUAUUAAAAAUUGGAUUAUUUCAGUUUUAAGUUUAUAGGAAUCCUUUUAGGAUUUUUAAAUCAAAGCUUUGACCUAGUUCUAUCAGAUUAUUUACUUAUUCUUUUUGUUUUAAAUUUCAAAUUGUUAUAGGGGCACGUAGGAUUUUGUUAUACUGUUUCCUUUUGUGUGGAUAAAGUCAGAGUUACAGAUGCGUCCUUGGCCUGGAAAGUGUGCAAAUACCCCCCAAUGCAUUGUACCCAUUGGGUAGAAAUUUACCCAACCCCUUUCCCCCUUACCCCUACUUAAAUUUCCUUAAGUUUUGCAUCCAUAUGAACUUAUAGGUGUUGAACAAUUAGUCCCAAUUUAAUAUUGAGUACUUGUGGUUGUUUUUCUAUUCCUAUGAUACUUCACUUAGGAGAAUAGUCUUCAAUUCCAUCCAGGUUAUUACAAAAGAUACCAGAUUACCAUCUUUUUAUGACUGAAUAGUAUUCCAUGGUAUACAUAUAUCACAUUUUAUUAAUCCAACCAUGAAUUGAUGGACACUUGGGUUGUUUUUACAUUUUUGUGAUUGUGAAUUGUGCUGUUAUGAACAUUCAAGUGCAAAUAUCUUUUUGAUAAUCUUUUUUUCCCUUUGGGUAAAUCCCUAGUAGAGGGAUUUCUAGAUCAAAUGAUAGGUCUACUUUUAGUUCUUUGAGGAAUCUCCACACUACCUUCCAUAGAGGUUGUACUAGUUUGUGGUCCCAUCAACAGUGUGUGAAUGCUCCUUUCUCUCCACAUCCAUGUCAGCCAUCUGUUGCUUUAGUGCUUUAUGAUGUGAGCCAUUCUCACUGGGGUUAGGUGGUAUCUCAAUGUUGUUUUGAUUUGCAUUUCUGUAGUAGAGACGAUGAAGAUUUUUUUCAUGUGUCUGUUCAUUGUUAGUCUAUCUUUGUAAGAAAAAUUUCUGUUCAUGUCUCUUGCCCACUGUGCAAUGGUAUUGUUUGAUCUUUUCUUAUUGAUUUGCUUGAGUUCUUUGUACAUUUUGGUUAUCCAUCAUUUGUUUGAUGUGCAACAUGAAAAAAUCUUCUCCCAUUCUGUAGAUCAUCUAUUCGCUUUCUCGAUUGUGUCCUUGGCUAUGCAAAUACUUUUUAACUUGAUCAGGUCCCACUUAGUUAUUUUUGUUGUUGCUGUGAUUGCCAGUGGGGUCUUCUUCAUAAAUUCCUUCCCUAUGUCAAUAUCUUUAAGAGUUUUUCCCAUGUUUUCUUCUAGGAUUUUUAGAGUUUUAUUCCUUAAUUUUAAAUCUUUUAUCUAUCAUGAGUUAAUUUUUGUGAAUGGUGAGAGGUGUAGGUCCAGUUUCAGUCUUUUAUAUGUGGCUAUCCAGUUCUCCUAGCACCAUUUAUUGAAUAGAGAUUCUUUUCUCCAGUGUGUGUUUUUGUUUGAUUUGUCAAAUGUCACAUAGCCUUAUGGGGUUGGUUUCAUUUCUAUAUUCUCUGCUCCCUUCCAAAGGUCUAGGUCUUAUUUUUAUGCCAAUACCAUGCUAUUUUGGUCAGUAUAGCCUUGUAGUAUAGCUGGAAGUCUGGUAAAGUGAUGCUUACAGAUUUGUUCUCAUUUUAUAGGAUUGAAUUGGCUACUCAGGGUCUCCUCUGGUGCCAUAUGAAGCUCAGGAUAUAAAUCAAUCUCCAUAAAUCAGCAGCUUUCAUAUAUGCCAACAACAGUCAGACUGAAAAUCCAAUCAAAGACACAAUACCCUUCAGAGUAGCACCAGCGAAAAUGAAAUACCCUGGAAUAUAUUUAACGAAGGCAAUGAAGGAUUUCUGCAGAGAGAUCUACGAGUCAUUGAGAAAAGAAAUAGCAGAGGAUGUUAGCAGAUGGAAAAAUAUAUCAUGUGCAUGAAUUAGCAGAAUUAACAUCAUUAAAAUGGCUAUACUACCUAAAGUGAUUUACAGAUUUAAUGCAAUCCCUAUUAAAAUACCUACAUGAUAUUUUGAAGACCUACCCUUUGUAUAGAAGCAGAGGGCCUUCAUAUUGCAGAUGAAAAUAAGCAAAAGAUAUAGAGCAGGGGUUGGAUAACGACUGCCUAUAGACCUAAUCUGUUCUGCCACCUAGUUUUGUUAAAAAAAAAAAAAAUUUACUGGGACACAACCAUAUCCACUUGUUUAUGUGUCAUCUAUGGGUGCUUUUGUGCUGUAACAGCAGAGUUGAGUAGUUGGUGACACAGACUAUAUAAUUCGUUUGCAAAGCCAAAAACAUGUACAAUCCAGAUGUUUAUUGAAAGUAUCCUGACCCCUGACAUAGAGUGAAAAGGAAUGAUAAAUAUGACUACUGCACCAAAAAUUAAAACUUGCCAGUCACUGAGAUGUCAUAACCAAGGUUCUGAAGGCAACGCACAAACUUACAGGAAAUAUUUUCAAGAUAUGUAACAGCAGAUUAUUAUUGAGGUUGUAUGAGGACUGCCUACAAAUCAAGGACUCAUUCUAACAAGAAAGAGAUGGUAACCCCAUGGAAGAGCAGGCAAAAGAUAUAAACCAGAAAUUCACCAGAAACAUUAAUAUACCCAGUGGAAACAUGAAGGAAUGCUCAAAAUUAGGUAAUGGGAGGAAAGUUUAAUGAAAGGACUAUCAAGGUAUAGGUUUAAACAAAUAAGGGACGAUAUACUACCUUGGGGCCAGUAAUUUUAUAAUAUGUAUAUUUUGUUAUAAAUAUUUUAAUACAAUAAAAUAGAGUAGAACACGCUAACCCUCUAAAAGGGAAUGAAGAAACCAACUACAUGAUUUUUUAAAUUGUUUAAAUACCAAGGUAAAGAUAGGUGUAAAAAUAAAGACAGGUUGAAAAUAAAAGAUGUAAAGGUAUAAGCAUAAUAAAGCUCUUGUGGCCAUAUUCCAUCAGAAAUUAUCAAUUUCAAGACAAAAACACUACCUAAAUUUAAAAAUGAAUUAUGAGUCAAUACAUUAAGAAGAUUUAAUAAUCUUCAAUUUUUAUGCACCUAACAAUAAUAGAGCUUCAAUACAGAAAGUAAAAACUGAUGAAUCUAAAGGGGGCAAUAGAGAAAUACACAAACAUAGCAUUUGUUUUAACACAUCCCUCUCAGUAAUUGAUAAAACAAAUAGUCACAUAUCGGCAAAGGUAUAGAUGGUUUGAUAAAGGUAGUUGUAACCAUCCCAAGGCUGAAAAUGCAAGAGCAGGAGUAGAAGCCUGGGAGGACAGUACGCAGAGGGCUGUCUGACAGAAGCACACACAGACCUAUGGUGACCUGAAAGAGAAGGAGAAAAGGAAUUCCUCAACCUCAUUCUCCUCCCACCCUCUUGAUCUCCAAUUGGCUGACUCCACUGUAACAAAGAUGAGGAGCCUGUUGACAUGUCCUUAUAGGUCAGCUUCCUGGACUAUGGAAUGGAGAAAUGUGGAAUCUGGGAGGGGAGCAAGCUGAAGCUAGGCAGCACACUGGUAAUCAGGGAAAUGAAAAUCACCCACAAGAAUGGUAAACAUUUGUGAAGUGUGAGUGUUGUGAAACACUCUUGUACACUAAUGACGGAGAAUAAAUUUGGACAUCUGCUUUGAAGUCCACUUUAUCAACUGCCAUGACGUUUUAAAUGUGUAUAUACUAUGACCUCAUAAUUUCAUUUCUCUAUCUAGAGAAAUACUUGUGCAAAGAGGUAUGUACAAAUAUUUCCCAAAUUCCUUUUGAUUGAUGAAUAGAUCAAUUGUAUUACAGUCAAAUAAAUUAUAUUAUAGCCAUAUGACAAGAUAAUACAUGGAUGGAGAUGGAAAAUAUUCUUCUUAGUAAAGUACCUCAAGAAUGGAAGAAAAAGUAUCCAAUGCACUCAAUACUUUUAUGAAACCAAUUUAUAAUUAGUCACAUUUUCUUAUGAAAGAUAGAUCACAACUACAGCCUAGGAUGAAGGAGAGAAAUGGAGUGGGAUGGGAGGGGAGGGUGGAGGUUUGAUAGAGGGAGGGUAAACAGUGGGACCACACCUAUGGUGCAUAUUGUAAGGGUACAAGUCAAAUCUACCAAGUAUAGAACAUAAAUGUCUUAACACAAUAAUUAAGUAAAUGAGGUGAAAGCUAUAUUAAUUAGUUUGAGGUAACCAUUCUAAAUUAUAUUUAAAAAAAUCAAUACAUUGUACCCCACAAAAGCAUAAAUGUAUUCAUGAUCUAUGUGUAUAUGACUUAAUAAAAGGAAAAAAAAUAAAAUAGUGGGUAUAUCUAAUAUAUACUAUUAUGGGUAGUGCUCCAAAAAUAUUAUUGCGUGAAAAAUGGAAGUUGUAAAAUAAUAUAUCCAGUAUUCCGUUUAUGUAAAACACAUACAAAAUAGGCAUCUCUUUUGUAUACAAGUAAGACAUCACAUAAAUUUAUGGACAUCAUCUAAAAGGAUAUAUGUCAAGAUUAGCAAUGGACUUUUUGUUCUUUGUGAAAAUGAAAAUUCACUGUCAUAAAAAAAUAAGAUCAUCAGCUGGGUUAGUGUCUCUCUCCAGUCAUGAAGUGUUCUGGUUCUGUCUGCUGGAAUCCCUCUCCCUUCCCUGCCCCUGUGUCACUGGACCAGGUGUGCCUGUUCGGGCAUGUACUAGAGGGGGUCUUACUGUCAAGUUCAUCGUAUCUGUGUCUGCUUCCCCCUCUUGACUGUGAUCGGGAGCCCAGGACCUUUGUAGUGGAUGUCCUUUGCUUCAUUUUCUAAUCUUUACUCUUUCUGUCAAUUUC